rnacentral:sRNA from 1 species
AGUCCCAUUUAGUUCCUUUGGUUUUUAAGCUUAUGCAUCUUGUGUGUUUGGUAUUCUUUUCAUUCCACCUUUUCCCAAAAGGUUGGUGAAGAAUUAUAAGAUACAAUGGACCUCAGGCAGUUAUGUUCAGGCUGGAAGACUUUAGCCGGAGAGGAUCAGGGACAUGUAGGUGGCAGAUUGGGUGAGGAUCAUGGAAGAACUCACUGAGCAGUUGGAGGCAAGAGCAGGGGUCUAGCUGCUGGUGAAGACAUCCUUAAUCACUGGAUAGGGGUAAGCCAAGAGUGAAUCUUAUUCUAGUGUAUGGAGCAGUGUUAGGAAAUGUUCAGAUAGAGCUGUGUCUUAAAUGGCUCAUUUAUUCAUAUGUUCUUUCAAACAUUUAUUCAUUUACUCACAAAUGCUUACUAAGUACCUGCUAAGUGUCACUAGUAUGUGUCUUAGAUAUCGAAAAGAUUCUGCAGCUUUCCUCAGUAAACAUCGACUCUCAGUCAACGUUCCUUGAUAUGCAGACAUGAAUAAGGAAGGCGUGAAUUGAGGUGUGAAUUAAGAAAGUGUCACAGUCAGAUCCUUAUGAAUAAGAAAAAUAUAGAGUACAGAUUUUUUCUUAAUUGUAUUUUUUAACUUUUUACUAUGGUCGAUUUCAAAUUAAUAGAAAGUAGAAAGGAUAAUAUAAUGAACCUCAUGUGCCCAUUAUCAGCUUCAACAGUACCAACUCACAGCCAGUUUUGCUUCAUCCAAAUGCCCACCUGCUUUUCUCUCCCACAUUAUUUUGAAGCAAAUCCUAGACAUCAUAUCAUUUUUUUUUCAUUUUAUUUUUAUUUUAUUUUACUUUAAGUUCUGGGAUACAUGUGCUGAAAGUGCAGGUUUGUUACAUAGGUAUACAUGUGCUGUGGUGGUUUGCUGCACCUGUCACCCCGUCAUCUAGGUUUUAAGCUCUACAUGCAUUAGGUAUUUGUCCUAAGGCUCUCCCUCCCCUUUCCCCCUACCCCUGAUGAUAUCAUAUCAUUUUAUCUGUAGAUUUUACAGUAAGUAUCUCUACAAGAUAAAGCUUAUUUCUCAACCUUGUUUAUUGUCUAUUAAGCAGUACAGAUUUUUUUUCUCUUCGCCUUUUUUCAGUGUGGAAUUCUGGGUAAUUUUCUCUCUGAUUUAGAAUCCUUGAUGACAUUGAAGUUUAUGAAGAACAGAUUUCAUUCAAACUGGAAGAGCUGGUCACUAUCUCCUCUUUCCUGAAUUCCUUUGUGUUUAAGAUGAUCUGGGAUGGAAUUGUAGAGAACGCCAAGGGUGAGACCUUGGAGCUGUUCCAGUCUGUCCACGGGUGGCUUAUGGUGCUGUACGAGCGGGACUGCCGGCGGCGCUUCACCCCCGAGGACCACUGGCUGCGAAAGGAUCUCAAACCUAGCGUGCUCUUCCAAGAACUCGACAGGGACAGAAAACGGGCACAGUUGAUCCUGCAGUACAUCCCACAUGUCAUCCCUCACAAAAACAGAGUUCUACUGUUUCGAACCAUGGUUACCAAGGAGAAGGAGAAACUGGGGCUGGUGGAAACCAGCUCUGCCUCCCCGCAUGUCACUCACAUCACCAUCCGCCGGUCCAGGAUGCUGGAGGACGGCUACGAGCAGCUUAGGCAGCUCUCCCAGCACGCCAUGAAGGGGGUCAUCCGUGUGAAGUUUGUCAAUGACCUCGGGGUGGACGAAGCAGGGAUUGAUCAAGAUGGUGUUUUUAAGGAGUUCUUGGAAGAGAUCAUCAAGAGAGUUUUUGACCCAGCACUCAAUCUGUUCAAGACAACCAGUGGGGAUGAGAGGCUGUACCCCUCACCCACAUCCUACAUCCAUGAGAAUUACCUGCAGCUCUUCGAGUUUGUGGGGAAGAUGCUGGGGAAGGCUGUGUAUGAGGGAAUUGUGGUGGACGUGCCAUUUGCAUCCUUCUUCCUGAGCCAACUGCUUGGGCACCACCACAGCGUCUUCUAUAGCUCGGUGGAUGAACUGCCUUCUCUGGACUCCGAGUUCUAUA